rnacentral:lncRNA from 1 species
UCUGUACUUGUCUUGUGUCCCAGCGUCUUAUGUUCCCAACUACAGGGCAAAUGUACAAGGACCACAUCUAAUGCGUGUUUAUCUUCUCUCUGGAGCCAGUUACAUGGGCUGCUUCUUACAAACGGGCUUACUGGGAUUACACAGAGGCUAAUGCCUGAUGCAUGAGAUUUAAGAGAAGAGGCAAAAUCAACCUUGCUGUCGUAGGGACACAGAGUCAUAACACCUCAACCAGGGCGAUGCCAAUGGACGUGGAGGGAAAAGAAAGAUGUGGGGGAAAACAUGAAGGAAAAGCUGACAAGACUGGGUGAACAAUGAAGUUUAGAAGGUAAUGGAAAUGGAAGUUAAAUAAAGCUUCAUUUUGUUUUUCA